UAGCCGUAAACGAUACUCGCUAGGUGUCGGCCACGGUGCGACCGUUGUCGGUGCCGUAGGGAAGCCGUGAAGCGAGCCACCUGGGAAGUACGGCCGCAAGGCUGAAACUUAAAGGAAUUGGCGGGGGAGCACAACAACGGGUGGAGCUUGCGGUUUAAUUGGAUUCAACGCCGGAAAUCUUACCGAGACCGACAGCAACAUGAAGGCCAAGCUGAAGACUUUGCCGGAUUAGCUGAGAGGUGGUGCAUGGCGUAGUCGUGU
rnacentral:rRNA from 1 species